GCGGGUGUAGCUCAAUGGUAGAGCAGCAGCUUCCCAAGCUGAAUACGAGGGUUCGAUUCCCUUCACCCGCUCUA
rnacentral:tRNA from 1 species